rnacentral:rRNA from 1 species
ACUAUUGUCACGGGUUACCGCGGCUGCUGGCACGGAGUUAGCCGGUGCUUCUUCUGUGAGUGAUGUCCUUCCUGCCGGCUAUUAACCCGCAGGCCUUCUUCCUCACUGAAAGUGCUUUACAACCCGAAGGCCUUCUUCACACACGCGGCAUGGCUGGAUCAGGGUUGCCCCCAUUGUCCAAUAUUCCCCACUGCUGCCUCCCGUAGGAGUCUGGGCCGUGUCUCAGUCCCAGUGUGGCUGAUCAUCCUCUCAGACCAGCUACGGAUCGUCGCCUUGGUGAGCCGUUACCUCACCAACCAGCUAAUCCGACAUAGGCUCA